rnacentral:rRNA from 1 species
CAUACUGUGAGCUCGAUGAGUAGGGCGGGACACGUGGUAUCCUGUCUGAAUAUGGGGGGACCAUCCUCCAAGGCUAAAUACUCCUGACUGACCGAUAGUGAACCAGUACCGUGAGGGAAAGGCGAAAAGAACCCCGGCGAGGGGAGUGAAAAAGAACCUGAAACCGUGUACGUACAAGCAGUGGGAGCACGCUUAGGCGUGUGACUGCGUACCUUUUGUAUAAUGGGUCAGCGACUUAUAUUCUGUAGCAAGGUUAACCGAAUAGGGGAGCCGAAGGGAAACCGAGUCUUAACUGGGCGUUAAGUUGCAGGGUAUAGACCCGAAACCCGGUGAUCUAGCCAUGRGCAGGUUGAAGGUUGGGUAACACUAACUGGAGGACCGAACCGACUAAUGUUGAAAAAUUAGCGGAUGACUUGUGGCUGGGGGUGAAAGGCCAAUCAAACCGGGAGAUAGCUGGUUCUCCCCGAAAGCUAUUUAGGUAGCGCCUCGUGAAUUCAUCUCCGGGGGUAGAGCACUGUUUCGGCAAGGGGGUCAUCCCGACUUACCAACCCGAUGCAAACUGCGAAUACCGGAGAAUGUUAUCACGGGAGACACACGGCGGGUGCUAACGUCCGUCGUGAAGAGGGAAACAACCCAGACCGCCAGCUAAGGUCCCAAAGUCAUGGUUAAGUGGGAAACGAUGUGGGAAGGCCCAGACAGCCAGGAUGUUGGCUUAGAAGCAGCCAUCAUUUAAAGAAAGCGUAAUAGCUCACUGGUCGAGUCGGCCUGCGCGGAAGAUGUAACGGGGCUAAACCAUGCACCGAAGCUGCGGCAGCGACGCUKAUGCGUUGUUGGGUAGGGGAGCGUUCUGUAAGCCUGYGAAGGUGURCUGUGAGGYAUGCUGGAGGUAUCAGAAGUGCGAAUGCUGACAUAAGUAACGAUAAAGCGGGUGAAAAGCCCGCUCGCCGGAAGACCAAGGGUUCCUGUCCAACGUUAAUCGGGGCAGGGUGAGUCGACCCCUAAGGCGAGGCCGAAAGGCGUAGUCGAUGGGAAACAGGUUAAUAUUCCUGUACUUGGUGUUACUGCGAAGGGGGGACGGAGAAGGCUAUGUUGGCCGGGCGACGGUUGUCCCGGUUUAAGCGUGUAGGCUGGUUUUCCAGGCAAAUCCGGAAAAYYAAGGCUGAGGCGUGAUGACGAGGCACUACGGUGCUGAAGCAACAAAUGCCCUGCUUCCAGGAAAAGCCUCUAAGCAUCAGGUAACAUCAAAUCGUACCCCAAACCGACACAGGUGGUCAGGUAGAGAAUACCAAGGCGCUUGAGAGAACUCGGGUGAAGGAACUAGGCAAAAUGGUGCCGUAACUUCGGGAGAAGGCACGCUGAUAUGUAGGUGAAGUCCCUCGCGGAUGGAGCUGAAAUCAGUCGAAGAUACCAGCUGGCUGCAACUGUUUAUUAAAAACACAGCACUGUGCAAACACGAAAGUGGACGUAUACGGUGUGACGCCUGCCCGGUGCCGGAAGGUUAAUUGAUGGGGUUAGCGCAAGCGAAGCUCUUGAUCGAAGCCCCGGUAAACGGCGGCCGUAACUAUAACGGUCCUAAGGUAGCGAAAUUCCUUGUCGGGUAAGUUCCGACCUGCACGAAUGGCGUAAUGAUGGCCAGGCUGUCUCCACCCGAGACUCAGUGAAAUUGAACUCGCUGUGAAGAUGCAGUGUACCCGCGGCAAGACGGAAAGACCCCGUGAACCUUUACUAUAGCUUGACACUGAACAUUGAGCCUUGAUGUGUAGGAUAGGUGGGAGGCUUKGAAGUGUGGACGCCAGUCUGCAUGGAGCCGACCUUGAAAUACCACCCUUUAAUGUUUGAUGUUCUAACGUUGACCCGURAUCCGGGUUGCGGACAGUGUCUGGUGGGUAGUUUGACUGGGGCGGUCUCCUCCUAAAGAGUAACGGAGGAGCACGAAGGUUGGCUAAUCCUGGUCGGACAUCAGGAGGUUAGUGCAAUGGCAUAAGCCAGCUUGACUGCGAGCGUGACGGCGCGAGCAGGUGCGAAAGCAGGUCAUAGUGAUCCGGUGGUUCUGAAUGGAAGGGCCAUCGCUCAACGGAUAAAAGGUACUCCGGGGAUAACAGGCUGAUACCGCCCAAGAGUUCAUAUCGACGGCGGUGUUUGGCACCUCGAUGUCGGCUCAUCACAUCCUGGGGCUGAAGUAGGUCCCAAGGGUAUGGCUGUUCGCCAUUUAAAGUGGUACGCGAGCUGGGUUUAGAACGUCGUGAGACAGUUCGGUCCCUAUCUGCCGUGGGCGCUGGAGAAYUGAGGGGGGCUGCUCCUAGUACGAGAGGACCGG